rnacentral:rRNA from 1 species
UGGGGAAUUUUGGACAAUGGGGGAAACCCUGUUCCAGCCAUCCCGCGUGUGCGAUGAAGGCCUUCGGUUUUUAAAGCACUUUUGUCAGGAAAGAAACGUCAUGGGUUAAUACCCCGUGAAACUGACGGUACCUGCAGAAUAACCACCGGCUAACUACGUGCCAGCAGCCGCGGUAAUACGUAGGGUGCAAGCGUUAAUCGGAAUUACUGGGCGUAAAGCGUGCGCAGGCGGUUCGGAAAGAAAGAUGUGAAAUCGCAGAGCUCAACUUUGGAACGGCAUUUUUAACUACCGGGCUAGAGUGUGUGAGAGGGAGGGGGAAUUCCGCGUGUAGCAGUGAAAUGCGUAGAUAUGCGGAGGAACACCGAUGGCGAAGGCAGCCUCCUGGGAUAACACUGACGCUCAUGCACGAAAGCGUGGGGAGCAAACAGG